CACCACCGCAGCAUCACAACAGACGAAAUACCCAAGGUGAUAAAAAUGAGCGGAAGGCAGCAUGACGUUCGCUGUUGUGUCUCUCGUCUGUCAGUGAUUCCAGAUUGUUGACGAAAUAUCGUCUUCUGCUACCUCUAGUGUCGAUGGCCAUUGAUAAUUGGAGAGCAGCAUAGGAAUGUGACAGCUUUGUCUGGGCUAAAUGCCCUACUACAGAAUAGAAUCCUCUUGGGAAACUUUGUCUGCUCCUAAAUUGCAUGAUACACAUCAUAAGUUAAAGUUACUUCAAAAAAUCAAAACAAAUAUUUAGAUUAGGAUUUUGAGAAAUUUCAGCUGAUGUUUGAGCUAGGUGCUUGUGACAAUAUAGAGAUCAAAUGGUCCAAUCCAAUAACGUAAGCUAUGUCUUCCAAAGCUAAAUAGUUUCUACAGUCAUUUAAUGUUUACAUAAUAUUUCAGGUUAACUUCCAGUGUUAAAUCAUAGUAAAUCUUCAAGAUAUUGAAGACAUCCCCAGAUCCAAUUCUCUGCUGCUAUCAUACCCAUACUUUCUGGAAAGCUGCUGGAGUAAUCCAUCCCCAAUUGAUUCAUUUCGUGCCAGCUUGUGAAAGGCGUGAGGAAUUCAAAUUUAGCUGCUGCUUGCUGUCUGCAAGGAAGCAAUCCAAUUGGCUGUCGCUAGGUGGCUUGAGCGUCUUCGGCCAUUUUGUUCCUUGACGAAUGAGAAGUGGGAUGCUGUCGUGACGUUUCCCAUGAUGAAAAUGUGAUUUAAUACCACUUUGUUAAGCAAUCUAACUCGGAAGCCUGUCCAUUUUGCCGAAAUGUCGUGCCUCGUGCGUCUUGCUGCCUGCACCCAGUCGUAUGUCUCGUGCCAUGCAAAAGCAAAAGUCCGCUGUUGGUUACCUUGUUGCAGCCAGGUGGUGAAAGAUGUGAUGGAGACUAAUUGAACUGUUGUAUGCAGCGUGUGGUUCCAGUGUUAUCCAGAAGUAGCUGUGCUGGCGGUAUCCUGAACUAGCCUGAAGUUGCCAGUGAUAUCUGGGUCGCUGACUUUAAAUAUUUUUUCUGUUUGCAUUUGUGUAUUUCUCUCUGCCAAUGCUAUCCUGUGUUUGAAAUCUUUUCUCAUUCGUGUUUUUUUGCUCUACCAGUGAUUUCCUGUGUUGCAGUCUUGAAAUGGUUCCAUUGUCGUCUUUGGCGUUUUUAUUGUGCAGUAUACGAUUGAGGCAACCUGAUCUAUGUCAGGUUUGA
rnacentral:lncRNA from 1 species